rnacentral:rRNA from 1 species
GACGAACGCUGGCGGCGUGCCUAAUACAUGCCAGUCGAGCGAAGUUUUUAUGGUGCUUGCACUAGAAAAACUUAGCGGCGAACGGGUGAGUAACACGUAAAGAACCUGCCUCAUAGACUGGGACAACUAUUGGAAACGAUAGCUAAUACCGGAUAACAGUAUUUCUCGCAUGAGAGAUAUUUAAAAGUUGGUUAUGCUAACACUAUGAGAUGGCUUUGCGGUGCAUUAGCUAGUUGGUGGGGUAAAGGCCCACCAAGGCGACGAUGCAUAGCCGACCUGAGAGGGUGAUCGGCCACACUGGGACUGAGACACGGCCCAGACUCCUACGGGAGGCAGCAGUAGGGAAUCUUCCGCAAUGGGCGAAAGCCUGACGGAGCAACGCCGCGUGAGUGAAGAAGGAUUUCGGUUCGUAAAGCUCUGUUGUUAGGGAAGAAUGGAUAUGUAGUAACUAUACAUGUAAGAGACGGUACCUAACCAGAAAGCCACGGCUAACUACGG